GCCUAGGGGGGCAGCAGUGGGGAAUAUUGGGCAAUGGAGGCAACUCUGACCCAGCAAUGCCGCGUGAAUGAAGAAGGUCUUCGGAUUGUAAAGCUCUAUCAGCAGGGAAGAAAAUGACGGUACCUGACUAAGAAGCCCCGGCUAACUACGUGCCAGCAGCCGCGGUAAUACGUAGGGGGCAAGCGUUAUCCGGAUUUACUGGGUGUAAAGGGAGCGUAGACGGCUGUGCAAGUCUGAAGUGAAAGGCAAGGGCUCAACCUUUGGACUGCUUUGGAAACUGUGCAGCUAGAGUGUCGGAGAGGCAA
rnacentral:rRNA from 1 species